rnacentral:tRNA from 1 species
GCGGGAUUAGUUAAUCGGUAUAAUAUCAGUUUUCCAAACUGAUGUGGAGGGUUCGACUCCCUCAUCCCGCA